CAUGAGUUAUGUCAUGUUAUCGAUAUGUGAAUACAUAGCAUAUCAGAAGGCACACCCGGAGAACUGAAACAUCUUAGUACCCGGAGGAAGAGAAAGAAAAUUCGAUUCCCUUAGUAGCGGCGAGCGAAACGGGAAGAGCCCAAACCAACAAGCUUGCUUGUUGGGGUUGUAGGACACUCUAUACGGAGUUACAAAGGACGACAUUAGACGAAUCAUCUGGAAAGAUGAAUCAAAGAAGGUAAUAAUCCUGUAGUCGAAAAUGUUGUCUCUCUUGAGUGGAUCCUGAGUACGACGGAGCACGUGAAAUUCCGUCGGAAUCUGGGAGGACCAUCUCCUAAGGCUAAAUACUCUCUAGUGACCGAUAGUGAACCAGUACCGUGAGGGAAAGGUGAAAAGCACCCCGGAAGGGGAGUGAAAUAGAACCUGAAACCGUGUGCUUACAAGUAGUCAGAGCCCGUUAAUGGGUGAUGGCGUGCCUUUUGUAGAAUGAACCGGCGAGUUACGAUUUGAUGCAAGGUUAAGCAGUAAAUGUGGAGCCGUAGCGAAAGCGAGUCUGAAUAGGGCGUUUAGUAUUUGGUCGUAGACCCGAAACCAGGUGAUCUACCCUUGGUCAGGUUGAAGUUCAGGUAACACUGAAUGGAGGACCGAACCGACUUACGUUGAAAAGUGAGCGGAUGAACUGAGGGUAGCGGAGAAAUUCCAAUCGAACCUGGAGAUAGCUGGUUCUCUCCGAAAUAGCUUUAGGGCUAGCCUCAAGUGAUGAUUAUUGGAGGUAGAGCACUGUUUGGACGAGGGGCCCCUCUCGGGUUACCGAAUUCAGACAAACUCCGAAUGCCAAUUAAUUUAACUUGGGAGUCAGAACAUGGGUGAUAAGGUCCGUGUUCGAAAGGGAAACAGCCCAGACCACCAGCUAAGGUCCCAAAAUAUAUGUUAAGUGGAAAAGGAUGUGGCGUUGCCCAGACAACUAGGAUGUUGGCUUAGAAGCAGCCAUCAUUUAAAGAGUGCGUAAUAGCUCACUAGUCGAGUGACACUGCGCCGAAAAUGUACCGGGGCUAAACAUAUUACCGAAGCUGUGGAUUGUCCUUUGGACAAUGGUAGGAGAGCGUUCUAAGGGCGUUGAAGCAUGAUCGUAAGGACAUGUGGAGCGCUUAGAAGUGAGAAUGCCGGUGUGAGUAGCGAAAGACGGGUGAGAAUCCCGUCCACCGAUUGACUAAGGUUUCCAGAGGAAGGCUCGUCCGCUCUGGGUUAGUCGGGUCCUAAGCUGAGGCCGACAGGCGUAGGCGAUGGAUAACAGGUUGAUAUUCCUGUACCACCUAUAAUCGUUUUAAUCGAUGGGGGGACGCAGUAGGAUAGGCGAAGCGUGCGAUUGGAUUGCACGUCUAAGCAGUAAGGCUGAGUAUUAGGCAAAUCCGGUACUCGUUAAGGCUGAGC
rnacentral:rRNA from 1 species